GGGAACCCCUAUCGGGUUCAGACUAAGCCAUGCGAGUCGGCUGGGGGCACUUGCUCCUGGCGGCGCACGGCUCAGUAAUACGCGGUCAACCUACCCUGGGGACCGGGAUAACCUCGGGAAACUGAGGCUAAUCCCGGAUGGGUGUAGGGUGCUGAAAUGCCCCUACGCCGAAAGUAGGCGGGAAAUGGACCGCUGAGGCCCCAGGAUGGGACCGUGGCCUAUCAGGUAGUAGGUGGGGUAACGGCCCACCUAGCCUACGACGGGUACGGGCCCUGAGAGGGGGAGCCCGGAGAUGGCACUGAGACAAGGGUCUAGGCCCUAAGGGGCGCAGCAGGCGCGAAGAUUCCGCAAUGCCCGAAAGGGCGACGGAGUGAACCCGAGUGCCACCCGCUGAGGGUGGCUGUUCCCCUGUGUAAAAAGCAGGGGGUAGGAAGGGGAGGGCAAGGCUGGUGGCAGCCGCCGCGGUAAAACCAGCUCCCCGAGGGGUUCCCACGCAUACUGGGCCUAAAGCGUCCGUAGCCGGCCCUGUAAGUCCGCAGUUAAAUCCGCCUGUAGACAGGCGGGCUGCUGCGGAUACUGCAGGGCUAGGGAGCGGGAGGAGCCGGGGGUAUUCCCGGGGGAGCGGUAAAAUGCGUAGAUCCCGGGAGGACCACCAGUGGCGAAGGCGCCCGGCUUGAACGCGUCCGACGGUGAGGGACGAAAGCUGGGGGAGCAAACCGGAUUAGAUACCCGGGUAGUCCCAGCCGUAAACGAUGCCGGCUAGGUGCUGGCCAAGGUUUCGACCUUGGCCAGUGUCGAAGCGAAGGCAUUAAGCCGGCCGCCUGGGGAGUACGGCCGCAAGGCUGAAACUUGAAGGAAUUGACGGGGGGGCACCACAAGGGGUGAAUGCCUGCGGCUUAAUUGGACUCAACGCCGGGAAUCUUACCGGGGGCGACAGCAGGAUGAAGGUCAGGCUGAAGACCUUACCAGACGCGCUGAGGGGUGGUGCAUGGCCGUCGCCAGCUCGUGCCGUGAGGUGUCCUGUUAAGUCAGGCAACGAGCGAGACCCCCGCCCCUAGUUGCCAGCGGCCUCCUUCGGGAGGGACCGGGCAAACUAGGGGGACCGCCUCCGAAGAGGAGGAGGAAGGUGGGGGCUACGGCAGGUCAGUAUGCCCCUAAUCCCCCGGGCCGCACGCGGGCU
rnacentral:rRNA from 1 species